rnacentral:rRNA from 1 species
CUACGGGUGGCUGCAGUCGAGAAUUUUUCACAAUGGGGGAAACCCUGAUGGAGCGACGCCGCGUGGAGGAUGAAGGCGUUUUCGUUGUAAACUCCUGUCAAACGGGAACAAGAAAGUGAUAGUACCGUUAGAGGAAGAGACGGCUAACUCUGUGCCAGCAGCCGCGGUAAUACAGAGGUCUCAAGCGUUGUUCGGAUUCAUUGGGCGUAAAGGGUGCGUAGGUGGCUUGUUAAGUUGAAGGUGAAAUCUCGGGGCUCAACUCCGAAACUGCCUUCAAUACUGGCGAGCUUGAGGACUGUAGAGGAGAAUGGAAUUCACGGUGUAGCAGUGAAAUGCGUAGAUAUCGUGAGGAAGACCAGUGGCGAAGGCGAUUCUCUGGGCAGUUCCUGACACUGAGGCACGAAGGCCAGGGGAGCAAACGGGAUUAGAUACCCCGGUAGUC